CUGGAAGUGAUGCAGACCUUCAGGCUUGAUGAUCAGUGAUUGACUUUUGUAUUCAUACUGUCUGAUCCAG
ensembl:snoRNA